GGCUCCUGAAAUCCUCCGGUGUGAACUUCUCCCAGGGCUGUUGAUGCUUCAUCUACUCUUCUGGCAGUGGGGGCCUGGACCUUAGUUACCCGGGGAGCGUGAGUCAUGUUGCACAGUUGAGCUGGCACAUAAAACUGCGAGGACAGAGAGCCAAGGAGUGGACCAACAUGCCUGAGUUUACACAGUGGACCUGAGGACCUUCACCUCCCAGUGCAAUGUUCCUGUGUACUGCCACUGAAGAGACAGGUGGGAGGGAGCUCAAGGUUGAUUUGCCUAACAACCAUUGCUUGAAAGACAAAGCUCCCAAGGAGAGCACAAGAUACCUCACUCGAGACUCCUCUGCAUCACCAACCAGUGUGAACAAAGCCUGCAGCUGUCAGCA
rnacentral:lncRNA from 1 species